UACGUAGGGUGCAAGCGUUAAUCGGAAUUACUGGGCGUAAAGCGUGCGCAGGCGGUUGUGUAAGACAGAUGUGAAAUCCCCGGGCUCAACCUGGGAACUGCAUUUGUGACUGCACAGCUGGAGUGCGGCAGAGGGGGAUGGAAUUCCGCGUGUAGCAGUGAAAUGCAUAGAUAUGCGGAGGAACACCGAUGGCGAAGGCAAUCCCCUGGGCCUGCACUGACGCUCAUGCACGAAAGCGUGGGGAGCAAACAGG
rnacentral:rRNA from 1 species